AGUGAACGCUGGCGGUAGGCCUAACACAUGCAAGUCGAACGGCAGCACAGUAAGAGCUUGCUCUUACGGGUGGCGAGUGGCGGACGGGUGAGGAAUACAUCGGAAUCUACUUUUUCGUGGGGGAUAACGUAGGGAAACUUACGCUAAUACCGCAUACGACCUACGGGUGAAAGCAGGGGAUCUUCGGACCUUGCGCGAUUGAAUGAGCCGAUGUCGGAUUAGCUAGUUGGCGGGGUAAAGGCCCACCAAGGCGACGAUCCGUAGCUGGUCUGAGAGGAUGAUAAGCCACACUGGAACUUAGCCACGGUCCAGACUCCUACGGGAGGCAGCAGUGGGGAAUAUUGGACAAUGGGCGCAAGCCUGAUCCAGCCAUACCGCGUGGGUGAAGAAGGCCUUCGGGUUGUAAAGCCCUUUUGUUGGGAAAGAAAAGCAGCAGGUUAAUACCCCGCUGUUCUGACGGUACCCAAAGAAUAAGCACCGGCUAACUUCGUG
rnacentral:rRNA from 1 species